rnacentral:rRNA from 1 species
UACGGGGGGGAGCAAGCGUUGUUCGGAUUUACUGGGCGUAAAGGGCGCGUAGGCGGCCACUGCAAGUCAGUUGUGAAAUCUCCGGGCUUAACCCGGAAAGGUCAGCUGAUACUGCAGGGCUAGAGUGCAGAAGGGGCAACUGGAAUUCUCGGUGUAGCGGUGAAAUGCGUAGAUAUCGAGAGGAACACCUGCGGCGAAGGCGGGUUGCUGGGCUGACACUGACGCUGACAGCGCGGAAAGCUAGGGGAGCGAACGGG